GACGAACGCUGGCGGCGUGCUUAACACAUGCAAGUCGAACGGAAAGGCCCUGCUUGCUGGGUACUAGAGUGGCGAACGGGUGAGUAACACGUGGGUGAUCUGCCCUGCACUUCGGGAUAAGCUUGGGCAACUGGGUCUAAUACCGGAUAGGAACCAUCUUUAGCGUGGUGGUUGGAAAGUUUUUUCGGUGUAGGAUGAGCUGGCGGCCUAUCAGCUUGUUGGGGGGGUAAUGGCCUACCAAGGCGGCGACGGGUAGCCGGCCUGUGAGGGUGUACGGCCACAUUGAGACUGAGGGACGGCCCAGACGCCUACGGGAGGCAGCAGGGGGGAAGAUUGCACAAUGGGCGCAAGCCUGAUGCAGCGACGCCGCGUGGGGGAUGAAGGCCUUCGGGUUGUAGACUCCUUUCGCUAGGGACGAAGCUUUUUGUGACGGUACCUAGAUAAGAAGCACCGGCUAACUACGUG
rnacentral:rRNA from 1 species